rnacentral:rRNA from 1 species
UACGUAGGGUGCAAGCGUUAAUCGGAAUUACUGGGCGUAAAGCGUGCGCAGGCGGCUUUGCAAGACAGAUGUGAAAUCCCCGGGCUUAACCUGGGAACUGCAUUUGUGACUGCAUGGCUGGAGUGCGGCAGAGGGGGAUGGAAUUCCGCGUGUAGCAGUGAAAUGCGUAGAUAUGCGGAGGAACACCGAUGGCGAAGGCAAUCCCCUGGGCCUGCACUGACGCUCAGUGCACGAAAGCGUGGGGAGCAAACAGG